rnacentral:misc_RNA from 1 species
GAAAUGCGAUAAGUAAUGUGAAUUGCAGAAUUCAGUGAAUCAUCGAAUCUUUGAACGUACCUUGCGCUCCUUGGUAUUCCUUGGAGCAUGCCUGUUUGAGUAUCAUGAAAUCUUCAAAGUAAAUCUUUUGUUAACUCAAUUGGUUUCUACUUUGGUAUUGGAGGUCUUUGCAGCUUCACACCUGCUCCUCUUUGUUCAUUAGCUGGAUCUCAGUGUUAUGCUUGGUUCCACUCGGCGUGAUAAGUUAUCUAUCGCUGAGGACACUGUAAAGGGUGGCCAAGGUAAAUGCAGAUGAACCGCUUCUAAUAGUCCAUUGACUUGGACAAUACUUUUAUGAUCUGAUCUGAAAUCAGGUAGGACUACCCGCUGAACUUAAGC